UACGUAGGGGGCGAGCGUUACCCGGAUUUACUGGGCGUAAAGGGUGCGUAGGCGGCCGUGAAAGUCCGGUGUGAAAACUCACGGCUCAACCGUGGGACUGCGCUGGAAACUACACGGCUUGAGGACGGUAGAGGGAGACGGAACUGCUGGUGUAGGGGUGAAAUCCGUAGAUAUCAGCAGGAACGCCGGUGGAGAAGUCGGUCUCCUGGGCCGUUCCUGACGCUGAGGCCCGAAAGCUAGGGGAGCAAACCGG
rnacentral:rRNA from 1 species